UUGCAGCUUAUGAAGUGUACACGCAGAUAUCGCGGUAGGUCAACAAUAAGGAAGCGAAGGGUGGAUGAGGGACAGGGAGAACGGAGACUGUUGCGCUGAGGAGAGGAUGUCGACGCCGUGAUGCGGCAGGCGAGGAUACCGCACGUGUUCUUCAAGACGCUCAUUUUAUUCCAUGCCCUCGACACGGGUGCAUGAUUCCUCUUCCGGUGGCGACGCGGCCAAUAGCGACGGCCUUGACUUCCGCCUUCGUGGCUUCUUCACUACCAUUUGCGCCAGCCAGGGUGGCCGUCGUUUAUGAGGAAGAUGAAUCUAUGAUAUGUUGCUCCUUAUUUACUCCGUUUCCCCUUAAGGGCUGAUUGACAAGGGCGAGGUGGCGCGGCGGAGGUUCCUUGAAAGACGGUGAUGAUCCGGAGCAUCUAUCGGAGCUAUCUUUGCCUGUUAUUUGCCUAGGUGCUGACUUGAGUUGCUGAUUUUGUUUUGAGGCUGAUGCGGAGACCGACGAAGUGUACACGCAAAUGACGCUGCAGCCGCUGAACCUG